rnacentral:rRNA from 1 species
UACGUAGGGGGCGAGCGUUGUCCGGAGUUACUGGGCGUAAAGGGCGUGCAGGCGGUCUGGUAAGUUUGGAGUGACAGUACCCGGCUCAACUGGGUAAGGCCUUCGAAAACUGUCAGACUUGAGGACCAGAGAGGGACAUAGAAUUCCGGGUGGAGUGGUGAAAUGCGUAGAUAUCCGGAGGAAUACCAAAGGCGAAGGCAGUGUCCUGGAUGGUUACUGACGCUGAGGCGCGAAAGCUAGGGGAGCGAACAGG